UACGGAGGGUGCAAGCGUUAUCCGGAUUCACUGGGUUUAAAGGGUGCGUAGGAGGGCAGGUAAGUCAGUGGUGAAAUCCCCGAGCUUAACUUGGGAACUGCCGUUGAUACUAUCUGUCUUGAAUACCGUGGAGGUGAGCGGAAUAUGUCACGUAGCGGUGAAAUGCUUAGAUAUGACAUAGAACACCAAUUGCGAAGGCAGCUCGCUACACGAAUAUUGACUCUGAGGCACGAAAGCGUGGGGAUCAAACAGG
rnacentral:rRNA from 1 species